UGAUAUACGCUCGUCUCAAAGGUUAAGCCAUGCAUGUCUAAGUACAAGCUUCCUAGAAAGUGAAACCGCAUAAGGCUCAGUAUAACAGCUAUAAUUUACAAGAUCCUCAUCCAAACAGUUACUUGGAUAACUGUGGAAAAGCCAGAGCUAAUACAUGCAUUAUGCCGGGACUGUUGGCCUCCGGGUCGGCGGAACUGGUGCACUUAUUAGUUAAACCAAUCGCCUCCGGGCGCUUUGAGUUGAAAUCUGGAUAAGGAUGCCGAUCGUACGGUCGCUUGCGAGUGACGACAGAUCUUUCAAAUGUCUGCCCUAUCAACUAUUGAUGGUAGUGUAGAGGACUACCAUGGUUGCGACGGGUAACGGGGAAUCAGGGUUCGAUUCCGGAGAGGGAGCCUGAGAAAUGGCUACCACAUCCAAGGAAGGCAGCAGGCGCGUAAAUUACCCAAUCCCGGCACGGGGAGGUAGUGACGAGAAAUAACAAUAUGGACCUCUCUAACGAUGGUCCAUAAUUGGAAUGAGUUGAGCAUAAAUCCUUUUGCAAGGAUCAAGUGGAGGGCAAGUCUGGUGCCAGCAGCCGCGGUAAUUCCAGCUCCACUAGCGUAUAUUA
rnacentral:rRNA from 1 species